AUUGAACGCUGGCGGCAGGCUUAACACAUGCAAGUCGAGCGGGGGAAGGUAGCUUGCUACUGGACCUAGCGGCGGACGGGUGAGUAAUGCUUAGGAAUCUGCCUAUUAGUGGGGGACAACAUCUCGAAAGGGAUGCUAAUACCGCAUACGUCCUACGGGAGAAAGCAGGGGAUCUUCGGACCUUGCGCUAAUAGAUGAGCCUAAGUCGGAUUAGCUAGUUGGUGGGGUAAAGGCCUACCAAGGCGACGAUCUGUAGCGGGUCGGAGAGGAUGAUCCGCCACACUGGGACUGAGACACGGCCCAGACUCCUACGGGAGGCAGCAGUGGGGAAUAUUGGACAAUGGGGGGAACCCUGAUCCAGCCAUGCCGCGUGUGUGAAGAAGGCCUUAUGGUUGUAAAGCACUUUAAGCGAGGAGGAGGCUACUCUAGUUAAUACCUAGGGAUAGUGGACGUUACUCGCAGAAUAAGCACCGGCUAACUCUGUGCCAGCCGCCGCAGUAA
rnacentral:rRNA from 1 species